GUAUGGGAUCUCUGUGGGAUCUAUUGGGAUCUAUGGGGUCUGUAUGGGAUCUGUAUGUGUUCCAUUUGGAUCUAUGGCGUCUCUAUGGGAUCUAUUGGUUUCUAUGGGGUCUCUAUCAGAUCUCUAUGGGAUCCAGUGGGAUCCACGACGUCCCUUUUGGAUCUCUAUGGGAUCCAGUGGGAUCUAUGGGGUCUCUAUGGGAUCUCUGUGGGAUCUCUAUGGGAUCCAUUGGGAUCUAUGGGGUCUGUAUGGGAUCCCGUGGGAUCUAUGGGGUCUCUAUGGGAUCUCUGUGGGAUCCAUUGGGAUCUAUGGGGUCUCUAUGGGAUCUCUAUGGGAUCCAGUGGGAUCUAUGAGGUCUCUAUGGGAUCCAUUGGGUUAUAUGGGGUCUCUAUAGGAUCUCUAUGGGAUCCAGUGGGAUCUAUGGGGUCUCUAUGGGAUCUCUAUGGGAUCCAUUGGGUUCUAUGGGGUCUCUAUGGGAUUCAUUGGGAUCUAUGGGGUCUAUAUGGGAUCUCUGCGAGAUCCGUUGGGUUCUAUGGCGUCUCUAUGGGGUCUCUAUGGGAUCCAUUGGGAUCUAUGGGAUCUCUAUGGGAUCCCUCUGGCAUAUAUGGGUUCUCUGUGGGAUCUCUGUGGGAUCCCAAUAGGAUCUGUGGGUCCCCACAGUGUCGUCGUUGUCCCCCCCCAUAAAGAACAUAAGCGACGCUAUGGGGCACAGCAGCGUUUAUUGGACGGCACCACGAGGGGGGGAGAGAGGGGGCAGACAACGCUGUGGGGCACGGGGAGGGGGGGGGGAAUCUAUGGGGCAGAGGGGGGGUGAAUCUAUGGGGCAGAAGGGGGUGAUGCUAUGGGGCACGGGGGGGGAAUCUAUGGGGCAGAGGGGGGCGAUGCUAUGGAGUGGGAUGGCAAUGAUGUGGGGCACAGAGGGGGCGCUGUGGGGUAGAGGGGGCGAUGCUAUGGGGGAGAAGGGGCAAUUCUAUGGGGCAGAGAGGGACGAUGCUGUGGGCCAGAGAGGUGAUGGUAUGGGGCAGAGGGGGCGAUGCUAUGGGGCUGGUGGUGAUGCUAUGGGGCAGAGGGGGAUGUUGCUAUGGGGCAGAGGGGAGUGAUGCUAUGGGGCAGAGGGGUGAUGCUAUGGGGCAGAGGGGCAAUGCUAUGGGGCAGGAGAGGUGAUGCUAUGGGGUGGGAUGGCAAUGAUGUGCGGCAUAGAGGGGGCGCUGAGGGGCAGAGGGGGGCGUUGCUAUGGGGCAGAGGGGGGUGAUGCUAUGGGGCAGAGAGGCUGAUGCUAUGGGGCAGAGAGGGAGAAUGCUAUGGGGCAGAGAGGGUGAUGCUAUGGGGCACGGGAGGGGGAAUCUAUGGGGCAGAGGGGGGCGAUGCUAUGGGGUGGGAUGGCAAUGAUGUGGGGCACAGAGGGGGCACUGUGGGGCAGAGGGGGCGAUGCUAUGGGGGAGAAGGGGCAAUUCUAUGGGGCAGAGGGGGAUGAUGCUGUGGGUCAGAGGGGUGAUGCUAUGGGGCAGAGAGGGACGAUGCUAUGGGGCAGGAGAGGUGAUGCUAUGGGGUGGGAUGGCAAUGAUGCGGGGCAUAGAGGGGGCGCUGAGGGGCAGAGGGGGGCGUUGCUAUGGGGCAGAGGGGGGCGAUGCUGUGGGGCAGAGGGGGCAAUGCUAUGGGGCAGAGGGGUGAUGCUAUGGGGCAGAGGGGGGUGAUGCUAUGGGGCAGAGGGUCAAUGCUAUGGGGCAGACGAGGGCGAUGCUGUGGGGCAGAGAGGGCAAUGCUAUGGGGCAGGGGGGGAAUCUAUGGGGCAGAGGGGGAUGAUGCUGUGGGGCAGAGAGAAUGCUAUGGGGUAGAGGAGGGCGAUGCUAUGGGGCAGAGAGGGAGAUGCUAUGGGGUAGAGGGCGGUGAUGCUAUGGGGCAGAGGGGGCAAUGCUAUGGGGCAGAAGGGGUGAUGCUAUGGGGUGGGAUGGCAAUGAUGUGGGGCACAGAGGGGGGCGCUGUGGGGCAGAGGGGGCGAUGCUAUGGGGGAGAAGGGGCAAUUCUAUGAGGCAGAGAGGGACGAUGCUGUGGGCCAGAGAGGUGAUGGUAUGGGGCAGAGGGGGCGAUGCUAUGGGGCUGGUGGUGAUGCUAUGGGGCAGAGGGGGAUGUUGCUAUGGGGCAGAGGGGAGUGAUGCUAUGGGGCAGAGGGGUGAUGCUAUGGGGCAGAGGGGCAAUGCUAUGGGGCAGGAGAGGUGAUGCUAUGGGGUGGGAUGGCAAUGAUGUGCGGCAUAGAGGGGGCGCUGAGGGGCAGAGGGGGGCGUUGCUAUGGGGCAGAGGGGGGUGAUGCUAUGGGGCAGAGAGGCUGAUGCUAUGGGGCAGAGAGGGAGAAUGCUAUGGGGCAGAGAGGGUGAUGCUAUGGGGCACGGGAGGGGGAAUCUAUGGGGCAGAGGGGGGCGAUGCUAUGGGGUGGGAUGGCAAUGAUGUGGGGCACAGAGGGGGCACUGUGGGGCAGAGGGGGCGAUGCUAUGGGGGAGAAGGGGCAAUUCUAUGGGGCAGAGAGGGACGAUGCUGUGGGCCAGAGAGGUGAUGGUAUGGGGCAGAGGGGGCGAUGCUAUGGGGCUGGUGGUGAUGCUAUGGGGCAGAGGGGGAUGUUGCUAUGGGGCAGAGGGGGGUGAUGCUAUGGGGCAGAGAGGGACGAUGCUAUGGGGCACAGAGGGAGGAUGCUAUGGGGCAGAGGGGGUGAUGCUAUGGGGCACGGGGGGGGGAAUCUAUGGGGCAGAGGGGGGCGAUGCUAUGGGGUGGGAUGGCAAUGAUGUGGGGCAUAGAGGGGGCGCUGUGGGGCAGAGGGGGGCGUUGCUAUGGGGCAGAGGGGGGUGAUGGUGUGGGGCAGAGGGGGGCGAUGCUAUGGGGCGGAGAGGGUGAUGCUGUGGGGCAGAGGGGGGCGAUGUUAUGGGGCGGAGAGGGAGAUGCUAUGGAGCAGAGGGGUGAUGGUAUGGGGGGGGGAUCUAUGGGGCAGGGGGGGGCGAAUCUAUGGGGCAGAAGAGGAUGAUGCUACGGGGUGGGAUGGCAAUGAUGUGGGGCACAGAGGGGGCGCUGUGGGGCAGAGUGCGGCGUUGCUAUGGGGCAGAGGGGGGGGUGAUGCUAUGGGGCAGAGAGGCUGAUGCUAUGGGGCAGAGAAGGAGAAUGCUAUGGGGCAGAGAGGGUGAUGCUAUGGGGCACGGGAGGGGGAAUCUAUGGGGCAGAGGGGGGCGAUGCUAUGGGGUGGGAUGGCAAUGAUGUGGGGCACAGAGGGGGCACUGUGGGGCAGAGUGGGGCGUUGCUAUGGGGCAGAGGGGGGUGAAGCUGUGGAGCAGAGUGGUGAUGCUAUGGGGCAGAGGGGGGAUGGGGCUAUGGGGCAGGGGAGGCUGAGAAGUGGGGCAGGGUGGGAUGACGCUAUGGGGCACUGUGGGGCGCGGAGGGGCGGUGCUGCUGUGGGGCUGAGCAGAGGUUUGGGGGCUGAAGUUGUGGGGCACAACAGGGGGUGCAAACGGGGCUGCCCCAUAGAUUUGGGGGCUGCCCCAUAAGUGUGCAUAUGUGGGUCCGGAGCUGCCCCAUAGAUUGCAUAGCUGCAGUUGUGGGGCUGCCCCAUAAGUGUGCGUAUGUGGGUCUGGGGCUGCCCCAUAAGUGGGUACCUAGAGCUGUGGGGCUGCCCCAUAGAUUGCAUAGCGGGGGCUGUGGGGCUGCCCCAUAAGUGUGCGUAUGUGGGUCAGGGGCUGCCCCACAGAUUGCAUAGGGGCGGUUGUGGGGCUGCCCCAUAAGUGUGCGUAUGUGGGUCAGGGGCUGCCCCAUAGAUUGCAUAGCGGGGGCUGUGGGGCUGCCCCAUAAGUGUGCGUAUGUGGGUCAGGGGCCACCCCAUAGAUUGCAUAGUGGGGGUUGUGGGGCUGCCCCAUAGCAUAUGUGGGUCAGGGGCUGUCCCAUAAGUGUGCGUAUGUGGGUCUGGGGCUGCCCCAUAAGUGAGUGCCUCGAGCUGUGGGGCUGCCCCAUAGAUUGCAUAGCAGCAGUUGUGGGGCUGCCCCGUAAGCGUGCGUAUGUGGGUCUGGGGCUGCCCCAUAGACUGCAUAGGGGCGGUUGUGGGGCCGCCCCAUAAGUGUGAAUAUGUGGGUCAGGGGCUGCCCCAUAGAUUGCAUAGCGGGGGCUGUGGGGCUGCCCCAUAAGUGUGCGUAUGUGGGUCAGGGGCUGCCCCAUAGAUUGCAUAGUGGGGGUUGUGGGGCUGCCCCAUAGCAUAUGUGGGUCAGGGGCUGCCCUGUAAGUGUGCGUAUGUGGGUCUGGGGCUGCCCCAUAGAUUGCAUAGCGGGGGCUGUGGGGCUGCCCCAUAGCAUUUGUGGGUCAGGAGCUGUCCCAUAAGUGUGCGUAUGUGGGUCUGGGGCUGCCCCAUAAGUGAGUGCCUCGAGCUGUGGGGCUGCCCCAUAGAUUGCAUAGCAGCAGUUGUGGGGCUGCCCCGUAAGUGUGCGUAUGUGGGGCAGGAGCUGCCCCAUAGAUUGCAUAGCUGCAGUUGUGGGGCUGCCCCAUAAGUGUGCGUAUGUGGGUCAGGGGCCGCCCCAUAGAUUGCAUAGUGGGGGCUGUGGGGCUGCCCCAUAGCAUAUGUGGGUCAGGAGCUGCCCCAUAAGUGUGCGUAUGUGGAUCGAAGGCUACCCCAUAGAUUGCAUAGCGGGGGCUGUGGGGCUGCCCCAUAAGUGUGUAUGUGGGGCUGCCCCAUAGUGCCCACCUCACUCCAUAGUGCUGCCCCAUAGAGCUGCCCUAUAGCUCUGCCCCAUAGUGCUGCCCCAGAUCUCUGCCCCAUAGUGCUGCCCCAUAGCACUGCCCCCCAUGGCUGCCCCAUAGCCCUACCCUAUAGCCCUACCCCACAGCUCUUCCCCAUAGCCCUACCCCACAGUGCUGCCCCACAGCGCUGCCCCAUAGCACUGUCCCAUAGUGCUGCCCCACAGCUCUGCCCCAUAGCCCUGCCCCAUAGCGCUGCCCCACAGUGCUGCCCCAUAGCACUGUCCCAUAGUGCUGCCCCAUAGCCCAGCCCCAUAGAGCUGCCCCACAGCACUUCCCCAUAGCCCCGCUCCAUAGCGCUGCCCCACAGCCCUGCCCCAUAGCACUGCCCCAAAGCGCUGCCCCAUAGCCCUACCCCACAGCUCUGCCCCAUAACCCUGCCCCACAUCCCUUCCCCACAUCCCUGCCCCACAGCCCUGCCCCAUAGCCCAGCCCCAUAGCACUACCCCAUAGCUUCCCUAUAGCCCUGCCCCACAGCGCUGCCCCAUAGCUCUGCCCCAUAGCCCAGCCCCAUAACUGUCCCAUAACUUCUUCAUAACUUUGCCCCAUAGCAACCCAAUAGCUCAGCCCCAUAGCAACCCCACAGCUGCCCCAUAGCAGCCCCACAGCUGCCCCAUUACCCUUCCCUAUAGCAACCCUAUAGCUGCCCCAUAGCCCAGCCCCAUAGCAGCCCCAUAACCCUGCCCCAUAACUGCCCCACAGCAGCCCCACAUCUGCCCCAUAGCCCUGCCCCCCAGCUGCCCCAUAGCAGCCCCAUAGCCCAGCCCCAUAGCAGCCCCAUAGCUUCCCCUUAUCCCUGCCCCAUAACAGCCCCAUAGGUGCCCCAUAGCUCUGCCCCAUAGCUGCCCCAUAGCUGCCCCAUAGGUGCCCCCCAGCUGCCCCAUAGCCCCCCAGCUGCCCCAUAGCAGCCCCAUAGGUGCCCCAUAGCAGCCCCACGGCUGCCCCAUAGCAUCACCUCAGCUCUGCCCCAUAGCAGCCCCAUAGGUUCCCCACAGCUGCCCCAUAGCUGCCCCACAGCAUCACCACAGCUCAGCAGCCCCAUAGCAGCCCCACAGCUGCCCCAUAGCAGCUCAGUGUGCCUCAGUGCCCCCCAGCUGCCCCAUAGCCCCCCAGCUGCCCCAUAGCAGCCCCGCAGCUGCCCCAUAGGUGCCCCCCAGCAGCCCCAUAGCAGCCCCAUAGGUGCCCCAUAGCAUCACCACAGCUCUGCCCCAUAGCAGCCCCAUAGGUGUCCCCCAGCUGCCCCAUAGCCCCCCAGCUGCCCCAUAGCAGCCCUACAGCUGCCCCAUAGCCCCCCAGGAGCCCCAUAGGUGCCCCAUAGCAGCCCCACAGCUGCCCCAUAGCCCCCCAGCAGCCCCAUAGGUGCCCCACAGCUGCCCCACAGCUGCCCCAUAGCAGCCCAAUAGGUGCCCCCCAGCUGCCCCAUAGCCCCCCAUAGCCCCCAUAGCAGCUCAGUGUGCCUCAGUGCCCCCCAGCUGCCCCAUAGCAGCCCCAUAGGUGCCCCAUAGCAGCCCCCCAGCUGCCCCAUAGCAGCCCCAUAGGUGUCCCCCAGCUGCCCCAUAGCCCUCUAGCUGCCCCAUAGCAGCCCCAUAGGUGCCCCAUAGCCCCCCAGCUGCCCCAUAGCAGCCCCAUAGGUACCCCAUAGGUGCCCCAUAGCAGCCCCACAGCUGCCCCACAGCUGCCCCAUAGCAGCCCCAUAGCAGCUCAGUGUGCCUCAGUGCCCUCCCAGUACUCGCGGGCCCCGGUGGGUUUGGGGCUGUGCGCCCCCCCUUCGCCCCCAUCCUCCUCGGGGGUCCCAAAACCGCCACCGCCGGGGGUCAGAAGGAUGAAUACGUCCUGGGGGGGCAACGGGGGUCAGUGGGGGUCAUGGGGGGGCAAUGGGGGGGAAAUGGGGGGCAAUGGGGGGCAAUGGGGGCAAUGGGGGAAAUGGGGGAAAUGGGGGG
ensembl:lncRNA